GCCAGGCAUGCUGGGUGUGCCUGCAGCUACUGUCCCCAGUGAGGCAGGAGGACACUGAGCCCGAGUCCUGGGCUGGGCUAUGCUAAUUAGGUGUCCUCACUGAGUUUGGCAUCAUUGUGGUACCGUCCUGGCAGCAGGGGACCACCAGGUUGCCUAAGGAGGGAUGGACUAGCCCAGGCCAGAAGCAGCAGGUCAACACUCCCAUGCUGAUCAGAUCAACAGUGGGCUCCUACUUGGGAAUAGCCACUGCACUUCAGCCUGGACAACACAGUGAGACCCCAU
rnacentral:SRP_RNA from 1 species